UAGGAAUAUGCAGAAGAAUAAUUUGGAUGACGGGCAGUUGAUGGAUAUAGAUUUGAUGGCUCAGGACUUGAACUUGUUCUUAAAAGAGCAGAGGAUCAAAAUUGAGAAAAUCUUGAGCGGGGAAAUCAGAAGAAAGGCCAAGAUUGUGCUCUCUGGACCUUCAAACAGCUAAGUUUUGUUGUAGUAUUGCAUAUUUCUUUUCUUUUUCUUUUUGUUUAUCCCUCUUGACUAGAGAUUGAUCAACUAACCUCUUUUAGCAAUUAAGCCUUAAACCAAAUUAUGAGAGCACUGAAUGGCAAAACGAAAAUCAGAAAUAGGCAGAGCAAACACGUGAAUUCAUUGUGGCUCACUUUAUAAGUGAGAGCUACAUCCACUUCACAUGGAUAUAGGGCAACCGAGUACAAGUAAGGAAUACCCAAUAGAUCAUUAAAAAAUUGGCGGUCAAGGGAUACUGACGGAAUAAUUAUAUGAUUAUAAGGGGACAAUUUUAACUUAGCCUGGUCUUACAUUUUUGUGUGGUUUAGGUACGAGCUUGAUGGUAGCAGCAAUAUGUUAUGCUUGGUUGUUGGAAAAUAGAAUGAAGGCUGAUAAGAUAAGAGGAGAGGGAGACAGGAGCAAUUUCGAGUUGAUCGUACCUGUGAUGAAUAUUUGGAGACAAAAUGUGGAAGAAGCAUCAAGCGGCUUGGCUUUUCGACCGUGUUCGCCUUGAUGCCACUGCUUUGUUCUUUUCUAAUGAGAAUUCACUAGUUUUCAGCACGAAAGACAAAAUGGAUGAACAAGGAAAUUUCGAAGAGAGAAGAUUGAAAAGGCAUCUCACAGCCAGGAACAUCAUCUAGUAUCUGCUUAUAAUCAGCUUUCAGGUAUUCUAUUGGACACACAAAAUUUGAAUUUGUUUCCCAAGUUGUCCGUGACUAGAGAUGCAGAGGCAGUUCAGCUUCUGUUAGGCGGAUCAGCCCCCAAUUAUAGGAAUUUUCUUUUCGAUAAAUUGAUGCAAGACAAUAGAGAUGAUAGAUUCCUUGAAGUUUUGCAUCACAACUACGGGAAGCCCCUCAACAAAAGUUCUUGGGACGGUCAAGCACAAAUUGAGCAUAGGAUUUGGGAGAAAAAAACUUCCAAUGAAGUAAAUGCAUCAGUUGGAGACAAAUAUUAGAAUGAUGCAAAAGAUGCACCAGUAAAGAAAGUUUCACCAAUUUCAGGUAAGCUAUAAUACAAUCUCGUUUUUAUAUAUUUUCUUCGAUUCAACUCCAAAGUAACACGAAAAUUCUAGCGUUUGCCUCCGAAAGGAAACAAGACGUUUCUUAACUAAGCAAAUGAUUUUUAAACAGAAGUUUUGAAACAAUAUUUUAUAUUGAAACUAUUUUGCCAAGUAAUUUCACUUGAAACAUUUAGCAACCAAUAAUUUUGUAAUGGCGUGUCUCUCUCCAACGAAGAAUAAGUCUACACUGCCAUCACUUUUCUAUAGGUAAGCGUUUACAACCUCAUGUGCAUCCUCAGAUGAAGGCACCUGCAAAAGAAACCGAUGCCUCUCGUGGAAAGAAUAAAAACUUCUUCACAAAAUUGUUUGGCUUGGCUCAUAAUAAAUAAAAAAAGGGACAUUGUUAUGUACUUAUGCGAGUUAAGAUUAUGACCCGUACAAUCAUAGAGGUUCUA